rnacentral:rRNA from 1 species
UACGUAGGGUGCAAGCGUUGUCCGGAAUUAUUGGGCGUAAAGAGCUCGUAGGCGGUUUGUUGCGUCGGCUGUGAAAUCCCGAGGCUCAACCUCGGGUCUGCAGUCGAUACGAGCAAACUAGAGUGUUGCAGGGGAGACUGGAAUUCCUGGUGUAGCGGUGAAAUGCGUAGAUAUCUGGAGGAACACCGGUGGCGAAGGCGGCGUCCUGGACCAAUACUGACACUGAACAGCGAAAGCCAGGGGAGCAAACGGG